rnacentral:tRNA from 1 species
GAGGGUAUAGCUCAGCGGUAGAGCGCGUGCUCAGCAUGCACGAGGUCCUGGUUCAAUCCCCAGUACCUCCA